UCCUUCGCCCCUUCGCAAUCUGCGGCGAAUAUCCUCGGAUUCCUUCCUUCCCCUCUCCCCUCGUCGAUCACGCCCGCCGCGGUCCGAAGUCCCAGGCUCCGGCGUCCCCGCUCGCCGUCCGUCCGGGGCUCCGGGCUCGCCGGGUGUCGGGAUGCCCUGCUGCCCGCCGCUGUUUGGAGUGGGCCCGCGGCUGCGCUCCUUCCUCCGCGACUACGACGCGCUCCAGUCCCUCGCCCUCGCCCUCAUCUACCUCCAGAUUGGCUGUGCACUGAUUGGAUCACUUGGGGCAUUGUUCAAUGGGGUUCUUGUGAUCAACCUGGUGAUAGGGCUCUUUGCUGUUGUAGCGAUCGAAAGUAGUAGCCAGAGACUUGGCCGGACAUAUGCUGUCCUUCUCUUCUUCGCUGUCAUCCUUGACGUUGCUUGGUUUAUACUCUUCUCGUGUGCUAUAUGGACUUUAAAUCCUGACGAGAAGUAUGGCCAGCUUUUUGUUUUCUCACUCAGACUAGCAUUGUGGAUGCAGAUCAUUGGGUUUUCAGUCAGGUUUUUUUCGUCAUUCAUAUGGAUCCAGAUGUAUAGAUUAGGGGCCUCUUCCAACAUGCCAACAUAUUUUGAAGCAAAUCAUGAAGCAAGAAAUAGUUUCUUAAGCCCCAGAUCUGAUUCAGUUAGACGGAGUUCCAUGGCAGAUGAUAUGUUGGGAGGUUCAAUUUAUGAUCCUUGCUACUACUCGUCACUCUUUGAGGAUGUUCGAAACAAUGCAUGCAAUCAUCAGGGUGAUUAACAAAGUGGUAGUAAUGAUAGUGGGUAAACACAUGCGGGCCAAUCUCGACAACUUAAAUCUUUUGCUUGUAGAUCUCUUUUGGCUAAUGAUGUGGAAGGUGGACUUAGAAGACCCUUGACCUCUUAAUGUAUCUCACAGCGGACUCGAGUUGAAAAUGGAGUUUAUUUUGUGAACCUAAGUCCUGUAGCCGCUGUUCUUUUUGAAGCGUAGAUAUCCCAGUGAAAGGAGAUCAGCAAAAUACUGCAACUGUGAUCACCUGUGUUGCUGCACGUUCUUGAACUUCGACAAGAUUUUUGGUGCCAUUGCAUGUGGAAGCGCCAUUUCUGCUUGGCCCACAUGAGCUGGAUGGUUUCGCAAAGAGCAGUCGAAUGCUGAUGUUGCACAUUGUUUUAUGCCAUGUGACAUGUUUUACUGCUCAGUAUGGUCCAUUUUUCAGACAUGUCUUUGCCUGUUUCUCUUAGCUAUCAAGGAAAUGAAGCUGGUAGUUAAAUAGUUCGGUAGUCACUCGGUUCUACUCUAGCCGCAGGCUGGUAUUCUUGUUCUUCCCUAGCAUUUUGGUCAUUGUUCAUAGUGCUAUCUUGACAAGUUCAUCUCUGGAUCAGCAAAGGAAGAGAAAUGUACAGUUCAUUCGGUUUGUGAGUUCAUUGAAGGGAUAUUGUAUCGGGAUCAAAUUUCAUAACACUAGGUUACCAUAUUCUUCUCAA